UACGUAGGGGGCUAGCGUUGUCCGGAUUUAUUGGGCGUAAAGAGCGUGUAGGCGGCCAGGUAGGUCCGUUGUGAAAACUCGAGGCUCAACCUCGAGACGUCGGCGGAAACCCUCUGGCUAGAGUCCGGAAGAGGAGAGUGGAAUUCCUGGUGUAGCGGUGAAAUGCGUAGAUAUCGGAAGGAACACCAGUGGCGAAAGCGACUUCCUGGUCCAAUACUGACGUUCAUGUGCGAAAGCGUGGGGAGCAAACAGG
rnacentral:rRNA from 1 species